CCAGCCAUGCCGGGUGGGUGAAGAAGGCCUUCGGGUUGUAAAGCCCUUUUGUUGGGGAAGAAAUCGUGCUGGUGAAUAUCAUGCGCGGAUGACGGUACCCCAAGAAUAAGCACCGGCUAACUUCGUGCCAGCAGACGCGGUAAUACGAAGGGUGCAAGCGUUACUCGGAAUUACUGGUCGUAAAGCGUGCGCAGGCGGUUCGUUAAGUCCGUUGUGAAGGCCCUGGGCUCAACCUGGGAAUUGCAGUGGAUACUGGCGAGCUAGAGUACGGUAGAGGAAGGUGGAAUUCCCGGUGUAGCGGUGAAAUGCGUAGAGAUCGGAAGGAACACCCGUGGCGAAGGCGGCCAGCUGGACCAGUACUGACGCUGAGGCACGAAAGCGUGGGGAGCAAACA
rnacentral:rRNA from 1 species